rnacentral:tRNA from 1 species
AUUUUUUAAAUACACCCCCCGUAUAUUCAAUUUCCAAUUGAAAAGAAGUAAAAAAUA